UGUCUGUACAGUCUAGAGUUGAGAGGACAUUCCUUCUGAAAAGAUAUGAGCAACGAGAAACUUAAUUUUCGGAGCCUAUGAUUCGGACAUAUAGGAACUGGGAGAAGACUCAUUCAGGGGACAGAGGAAGGAUUGAGGUCUUCUGCUUCAUAUAGACACAGAAUCUGUAACUUCUUCAGUAGUGUUCCCUCCAAGACUUCCCUGAAAAACACCAUAGAUAACAUUGUGCCAAUUGAUCAUCCCUGAUACUACUGAUAACAUUUACAUGAAGGUUUCCCCUGUACCACCCCUUCUCCACCAUCUCAUUUUCAUUUCUUCCUUCCAGAAGCUGUCUGCACUUGCAUAACUUAAUAAAAUGGUGAUUGCUAGUUGAUCCUUAUAUUGUUUAGAAAAGAUAGAAUCAGUCAACUCCUCCAAAUAAACAGGAGAAGGAUAUACAAAGAAUGCCAGUGUUGGUGAGAUGUUUAUGCCACAGUUUCUCCAAUGCAUUUUAGGGGGGCUCAUCAUAUUAGGGGCUCUAACGUGGAGGCAACACCACUGGGUGGUCAUUACAAGGAAUGUGACUAUAUUGCCCCCUCGUGGUUGUAAUGCAUAAAUGCUGAACAAGACCUGAAACCCCCUAAACAAAAAUAAG
rnacentral:lncRNA from 1 species